rnacentral:rRNA from 1 species
ACGGAGGGGGCGAGCGUUGUUCGGAAUUACUGGGCGUAAAGGGCGCGUAGGCGGCGAGAUCAGUCAGGCGUGAAAGCCCCGGGCUCAACCUGGGAUGUGCGUUUGAUACUGUCUUGCUAGAGACCGGAAGAGGAUGGCGGAAUACCCAGUGUAGAGGUGAAAUUCGUAGAUAUUGGGUGGAACACCAGUGGCGAAGGCGGCCAUCUGGUCCGGAUCUGACGCUGAGGCGCGAAAGCGUGGGGAGCAAACAGG